rnacentral:rRNA from 1 species
UACAGAGGUGGCAAGCGUUGUUCGGAAUUACUGGGCGUAAAGGGCGCGUAGGCGGCUUGGUCAGUCCCGUGUGAAAUCCCUCGGCUCAACUGAGGAACUGCACGGGAAACUGCCUGGCUUGAGUUCGGGAGAGGGAAGCGGAAUUCCGGUGUAGCGGUGAAAUGUGUUGAUAUCGGAAGGAACACCGGUGGCGAAAGCGGUGCACUGGGGCUCAACUGACGCUGAGGCACGAAAGCCAGGGUAGUGAACGGG